UUCCGGUUGAUCCUGCCGGAGGCGACCGCUUUGGGAGUUCGAUUAAGCCAUGCGAGUCGUGAGUCUUAGGGACUCGGCAUACUGCUCAGUAACACGUGGAUAACCUGCCCUAUCGUCUGGAAUAACCUCGGGAAACUGAGAAUAAGGCCGGAUAGUUCACAAUGCCUGGAACGGUUUGUGAAUCAAGGUAGGAUGGGUCUGCGGCGUAUCAGGUUGUAGGGGGUGUAAAGGACCCCCUAGCCUUCGACGCGUACGGGUGUUGGGAGACAUAGCCCGGAGAUGGAUUCUGAGACACGAAUCCAGACCCUACGGGGUGCAGCAGGCGCGAAAACUUCACACUGCGGGAAACUGUGAUGAGGGAACUCCUAGUGCAUGCACUAUGUGUAUGUAGAUCCUACUCUUAACAAGUAGAGGGAAAGGGCUGGGAAAGACCGGUGCCAGCCGCCGCGGUAAUACCGGCAGCUCAAGUGGUCGUCGCUUUUAUUGGGCCUAAAACGUCCGUAGCCUGUUUGGUAAAUCUGUGGGUAAAUCAAUCCGCUCAACGGAUUGAAUUCUGCAGAGACUGCCAGACUAGGGACCGGGAGAGGUGUGGGGUACUCGAGGGGUAGGGGUAAAAUCCUGUCAUCCUUCGAGGACCACCAGUUGCGAAGGCGUCACACUAGAACGGAUCCGACGGUCAGGGACGAAGCCUAGGGGCACGAACCGGAUUAGAUACCCGGGUAGUCCUAGGUGUAAACGCUGUGAACUUGGUGUCGGGAUUCCGUCAGGGGACCUCGGUGCCGAAGUGAAGAUGUUAAGUUCACUGCCUGGGGAGUACGGUCGCAAGGCUGAAACUUAAAGGAAUUGGCGGGGCAGCAC
rnacentral:rRNA from 1 species